rnacentral:lncRNA from 1 species
CUAAUAUAAUAGUGGAGACAUUUGAGUCUCUAGGCUUUAAGGUUUAUGGAGGGAAGAAUGCACCAUAUGUGUGGGUCCACUUCCCUGGCCGAAGCUCAUGGGAUGUAUUCAGUGAGAUUCUUGAGAAGACUCAUGUGGUUACCACACCUGGGAGUGGUUUUGGACCUGGUGGUGAAGGUUUCGUCAGGGUUAGCGCCUUUGGUCACAGGAGUAAUGUAUUAGAAGCCUGUAAAAGAUUCAAGCAAUUGUACAAGUGAACAAGAGUUUCGGACUUGUAGAUUAGUAUCUGCAGUCUCGUAUCUGAACCAAAGAGAUCAACGUUUGCCUCCACGUCCUAUGUUUGUCAGUUGUGCGCUAGUUUCAGCAAGUUCCUUGUCAUAUUGGUUUGUGGAUUCUAUUUUUAGAAAUGCAAAUCAUUUUGGCUGUCGCAGAAAAUGAUUGAAUUUUUAGAUGCUACACUUGGCUGCUGUAAAGUUUCUAUUAAAAUUAGAAGCUUGAUUUCUAGUUGUUACGUUGCCUAAAAGUUAUCUAAAUAAAGUUGCAGUAAUUCGUAGCCUGCAAAUCCGUCGAGAUCAUGCAGUCCAAGACGGCACCUUUUUUUUUUAAGGGUACUCCAAGAUGGUACUUUUGGGCCUCGAUUUCAGAGCUGUAGAAGGCUAGAACCUAGAAGCUGAUAUAAAAGUUUCUGGUUUUGUUUCCUUUCUCUUGGCAACCAAAUUGGCAUUUCAGCAUGUUCGUCUCAUCAGUUUUGCUUCAUUUAAAUGUUGCCCUAUUAACUUCAUCAGGAAAAAGAAUGGAAGAUGCUAUUAGUAGUGGAAACACUCAAUUAUAUUUAUAGCAAAACGUCUCGGUCCUAUUAGUAGUGUAAACACUCCCUUACCUAGAAUCUUUAAAAAUCCUAAUUAAACACCAUAAGACAAAAACAUACAUUAUUCAACAGAUAUUUUUUCUUUGGUGAACCAAAGUGUGCCACCACUCUGAGCUAGGACUGUUUACGGUAAAGCUCUCCUAAGAUGGUGUUUUUCACAUGCUGGAUUUUGAACUUCGUUCGCCCAACUGCAGGAACUAGCCAGUAUCCACUAGACCAAACCCCUUUGGUAUUCAACAGAUACUUUUUAUAUUGCACUCAACACAAUUCAAAUUAUUCAUAAUAAAUGCCAUAUACCUAUAUGUCGGCAAAAUAUUUAUGUCGUGUCUAAAAAGGGCACCAAGUGGGACAACGUUAGUGGGUCAAACAAAUGUUGAUAUUAUAUGAAUAAGGGAGGAACAUGAAUGAAAGGAAAAAACAAGAAGCAGAGAUGCAUAUUUGAGAAAAAAUAGGAAGCUACAUUUACUACACUGAGCAACCAACUUAUUAGUGGCUAUUUGUGCUUACAAAAUGUUGGUGCUUCAUUCUAAAGACUUCCGAGAGGUUGAUUGUGGACAGAAGAAAGGCUGGUCCAUUUUCUUAGCAACCAAACACCUUCCACUCUCCUAGCUUACAUUAUCAACUGUUUUUCCGAGCUUAGAAUGUAUCCCUUCAAGCAAAAAGAGAAGACUGGUUUCUUGCUUUUAACUUUUUUUUUUUUUUUGGAUGAACUUAUAAAUGUUUCGUUGAAAAACAAAAUCUGAUUCAUAUACAUUUUUCCAAUGUAAAGCAUACAAGACCCAGGUGGCUCGCAAUGCAAACAUGGCCAAAUUUCAAGCCGCGUAUAUUUUUCCAGAGGUCUGUAAUGUCUUUCACUUGCUCUAUUUGGCCUUCAUGUUAAGUUUCUCAGUUUUUGUCUCUCAAAUAUGGCAUGGCACAACCUUUUAAUUUACUUGUUCAACUAAAUCAUAAUUAACUCAUUAAAAUUUACUUGAGGGUUAACGACGCUAACUUGUAAAGUUUUUGAGUUUGGUUUAUGUUGUUUUAGAUUGCUAGAAAAAGGGAUGCACAUUUGCAGAAGUACCCUGAUGCACAAGAGAUUAGCCUUGGACAUGGUGACACCACUGAGCCCAUUCCAGAAGUUAUAACCUCUGCAAUGAAAAAGGUAGCCUUCUUUGCUUUCGUGUUUAAUCGAUGUACCUUUUGACAUAGAAACCGUGAUAUUCGGAAAUGUUCUCUUGCCAGACUCUGAAUUUGGACUAUGCUGUGCAUUUUUAUGUCAAGAACUUGUACAUACUGUAACACAUGCAUUAUAAUGGAUCUUACCUUUUGAAAAGAGAAUUUGUAGUAAUUGUGGUUUGUUAGUUGUCAUGUCUUGCUGAUCCAUCUUUAAAUUGUUUAUAAUUUGGCAGAGAUCACAAGCUUUGUCCACCCUAGAGGGUUACAGUGGUUAUGGACCAGCGCAAGGUGAAAAGGUAUUUGGCCUUCUCAAUAUCUGAUUAGCUGUUAGAGGCAAAACAUGUAGCAAAUAGUCAUACCUUCGUUUUCUGUAUUGACAUUCCUUAUUCAAGAAAUUGUGAAGUGUUAAAACAUAUUGUUAUCUGUACAGCCAUUGAGAGCUGCAAUUGCUUCAACAUUUUAUGACAACCUUGGCAUAGAGGAAGAUGACAUAUUUGUUUCUGAUUGUGCAAAAUGCGACAUUUCCCGCCUUCAGGUUUUCAUAUUUUUGUUAAUCUGUUGAUUUUUUUUGUUUUUGUUUUUCACGAUAAUAUUCUUGAUUGAUUCAGAACUGUAAACUGAAUUUAAAUUGUCUCUGCCUUGUGUUUACAUUGUGACAGCUUGUUUUCGGGUCUAAUGUUACAAUGGCAGUGCAAAGUCCAUCUUAUCCAGUAAUUUGCUUUUGAUCUUUACUUGCCUUUUAUAUUGUCUCCUCUCUCUCUCUCUCUCUCUCUCUCUCUCUCUCUCUCUCUCUCUCUCAAUGAGAUUCUUGAGAAGACUCAUGUGGUUACCACACCUGGGAGUGGUUUUGGACCUGGUGGUGAAGGUUUCUUCAGGGUUAGCGCCUUUGGUCACAUGAGUAAUGUAUUAGAAGCCUGUAAAAGAUUUAAGCAAUUGUACAAGUGAACGAGAGUAUCGGACUUGUAGAUUAGUAUCUGCAGCAGCCUCGUAUCUGAACCAAAGAUGAUCAACGUUUGCCUUCAUGUUCUAUGUUUGUCAGUUGUGCGCUAGUUUCAGCAAGUUCCUUGUCAUGUUGGUUUGGAUUCUAUUUUUAGAAAUGCAAAUCAUUUUGGCCGUCGCAGAAAAUGAUUGAAUAUUUAGAUGUUACACUUGGCUGCCGUAAAGUUUCUGUCAAGAUUAGAAGCUUGAUUUCUACCUGUUAUUGUUGCCUAAAAGUUAUCGAAAUAAAGUUGCAGUAAUUCGUGACUGCAAAUCCGUCGAGAUCAUGCAGUCCUAGACGGCACUUUUUUUUUUUUUGGGUGCUCCAAGAUGGUACUUUUGGGCCCUGAUUUCUGAGCUGUAGAAGGCUGGAACCUAGAAGCUGAUAUAAAAUUUUCUGGUUUUGUUUCCUUUCUCUUGGCAGCCAAAUAGGCAUUUCAGCAUGUUCAUGUUGGAUUAUGACUAAUUAGUUGACUUGUUAAGUUGUCAUCUUGUGAAACACAAAGACCAAACACAAAUCCUUGUUUCAUGGAAGACGCAAACUCUAGUUUCAUGGAGGACUUUCUCUCUCUCCUUGUCUCAUGGAGACCUUGUUUCUUGGAUGGAAACAUUGUUCCUAGUUUGUAGUUAUGUAAUUAAUGUAAGUUGUAUUAAAAGGAUUAAGAGGAAUACAAAGAAGCUAAGUUGAAGAAAUCAGAAAAAUGUUGUGUAGUUCUCAUUCUCUCUAUUUUCCACUUGUUCUCUCUAUAUUUUCCAGAUUUUGACAGUUCAUCCCAUCUGUUUUGCUUCAUUUAAAUGUUGCCCCUAUUAACUUCACCAGGAAAAAGAAUGGAAAAUAUUUUAAAACUUAACUUAAAAACAAUUUAUCAAUUAUAUUAGUAGUGGAAACACUCAAUUAUAUUUAUAGCAAAAGGUCUCGGUCCUAUUAGUAGUGUAAACACUCCCUUACCUAGAAUCUUUAAAAAUCCUAAUUAAACACCAUAAGACAAAAAUAUACAUUAUUCAACAGAUACUUUUUUUCUUUGGUGAACCAAAGUGUGCUACCACUCCGAGUUGGGACUUUUUACGGUAAAGCUCUCCUAAGGGGGUGUUUUUCACAUGCUGGAUUUUGAACUUCGUUCGCCCAAUUGCAGGAACUAGCCAGUAUCCACUAGACCAAACCCCUUUGGUAUUCAACAGAUACUUUUUAUAUUGCACUCAAAACAAUUCAAAUUAUUCAUAAUAAAUGCCAUAUACCUAAUAUCGGCAAAAUAUUUAUGUCGUGUCUAAAAAAGGCACCAAGUGGGACAACGUUAGUGGGUCAAACAAAUGUUGAUAUUAUAUGAAUAAGGGAGGAACAUGAAUGAAAGGAAAAAACAAGAAGCAGAGAUGCAUAUUUGAGAAAAAAUAGGAAGCUACAUUUACUACACUGAGCAACCAACUUAUUAGUGGCUAUUUGUGCUUACAAAAUGUUGGUGCUUCAUUCUAAAGACUUCCGAGAGGUUGGUUGUGGACAGAAGAAAGGCUGGUCCAUUUUCUUAGCAACCAAACACCUUCCACUCUCCUAGCUUACAUUAUCAACUGUUUUUCCGAGCUCAGAAUGUCUCCCUUCAAGCAAAAAGAGAAGACUGGUUUCUUGCUUUUAACUUAUUUUUUUGGAUGAACUUAUAAAUCUUUCGUUGAAAAACAAAAUCUGAUUCAUAUACAUUUUUUCAAUGUAAAGCAUACAAGACCCAGGUGGCUCGCAAUGCCAACAUGGCCAAAUUUCAAGCCGCUUAUAUUUUUCCGGAGGUCUGUAAUGUCCUUCACUUGCUCUAUAGUUGGCCUUCAUGUUAAGUUGCUCAGUUUGAGUCUCUCAAAUAUGGCAUUUUGCACAACCUUUUAAUUUACUUGUUCAACUAAAUCAUAAUUAACUCAUUAAAAUUUACUUGAGGGUUAAAGACGCUUAUUUGUAAAGUUUUUGAGUUUGUUUUAUGUUGUUUUAGAUUGCUAGAAGAAGGGAUGCACACUUGCAGAAGUACCCUGAUGCACAAGUGAUUAGCCUUGGACAUGGUGACACCACUGAGCCCAUUCCAGAAGUUAUAACCUCUGCAAUGGAAAAGGUAGCCUUCUUUGCUUUCAUGUUUAAUCGAUGUACCUUUUGACAUAGAAACCGUGAUAUUCGGAAAUGUUCUCUUGCCAGACUCUGAAUUUGGACUAUGCUGUGCAUUUUUAUGUCAAGAACUUGUACAUACUGUAACACAUGCAUUAUAAUGGAUCUUACCUUUUGAAAAGAGAAUUUAUAGUAAUUGUGGUUUGUUAGUUGUCAUGUCUUGCUGAUCCAUCUUUAAAUUGUUUAUAAUUUGGCAGAGAUCACAAGCUUUGUCCACCCUAGAGGGUUACAGUGGUUAUGGACCAGCGCAAGGUGAAAAGGUAUUUGGCCUUCUCAAUAUCUGAUUAGCUGUUAGAGGCAAAACAUGUAGCAAAUAGUCAUGCCUUUGUUUUCUGUAUUGACAUUCCUUAUCUGUACAGCCAUUGAGAGCUGCAAUUGCUUCGACAUUUUAUGACAACCUUGGCAUAGAGGAAGAUGACAUAUUUGUUUCUGAUGGUGCAAAAUGCGACAUUUCCCGCCUUCAGGUUUUUAUAUUUUUGUUAAUCUGUUGAUAUUUUUUUGUUUUUCAUGAUAAUUGUCUUGAUUGAUUCAGAACUAUAAACUGUACUUAAAUUGUCUCUGCCUUGUUUUUACAUUGUGAUAGCUUGUUUUCGGGUCUAGUGUUACAAUGGCAGUGCAAAGUCCAUCUUAUCCGGUAAUUUGCUUUUGAUCUUUACUUGCCUUUUAUAUUGUCUCCUCUCUCUCUCUCUCUCUCUCUCUCUCUCUCUCUCACUGUUUAAAACUUGGGAUGAUUUUCCUUUUUUUAUUCUUUAUCUGCAGGCUUAUGUGCAAUCGAGUGUUGUUAUGGGCCAGACUGCACAAUAUCAGAAAGAUGUUGAAAAGUUUGGAAAUAUUGAGUACAUGACGUGCACUCCUGAGAAUGGUUUUUUUCCUGAUUUACGCAAAGUUGCUCGAACAGAUACCAUAUUUUUCUGCUCACCAAACAACCCUACAGGUUCGGCUGCAACCAGAGAGCAACUGACACAACUAGUACAGUUUGCUAAGGAUAAUGGUUCAAUCAUAGUCUAUGAUUCUGCAUAUGCCAUGUAUAUGUCAGAUGACAAUCCUCGCUCAAUCUUCGAAAUCCCGGGAGCUAAAGAGGUAAGUCUGCAAUUGAUAAUUUGUUUGCAAGGCUCAUGAUUCAUAGUUUUGUUGAAGAUUUAUGUAUGGAAUGGAUAAUAAAUAGGAGGAUUUAUAUGCAUUGUGGUGGAUAAGAAGCCUAAUAUUUAAGAGCAUACCAGAUCUAACUUGUAUGUUUUAUGUUUCUGUAUCGACAUUGCAGGUUGCAAUUGAGACAUCAUCAUUCAGUAAGUAUGCUGGAUUCACUGGAGUUCGUCUGGGGUGGACGGUGGUCCCAAAGCAGUUGCUAUUUUCAGAUGGAUUUCCUGUUGCCAAGGACUUCAACCGCAUCGUAUGCACUUGCUUCAGUGGUGCAUCAAACAUUGCCCAAGCUGGUGGUCUGGCUUGCCUUUCACCGGAAGGCAUUAAGGUCCGUUCUUCUGUAUCUCGAUUGAUUCUAAAGUUUCAUACUUGAAACCCACCUGCAUGUGUUGUUAACUUGUUACAAGCUUUGCUUACAUUUGUUUGAUUUCAACUCCUUGUAGGCUAUGCAUGAUGUGAUUAGUUUCUACAAAGAAAAUGCUGGAAUUUUAGCUUACACAUUUGAGUCUCUUGGCUUUAAGGUGUAUGGAGGGAAGAAUGCACCAUAUGUGUGGAUUCAUUUCCCGGGCCGAAGCUCAUGGGAUGUAUUUAAUGAGAUUCUUGAGAAGAUUCAUGUGGUUACCAUACCUGGGAUUGGUUUUGGACCUGGUGGUGAAGGUUUCAUCAGGGUUAGUGCCUUUGGUCACAGGAGAAAUGUUUUAGAAGCCUCUGAAAGAUUCAAGCAAUUAUACAAGUGAAGUGACUCUAGAGUGGUAUCUGCAGCCUUCUAUUUGAACCGGAGAUCAUCGAC